UGGGGAAUAUUGCACAAUGGAGGGAACUCUGAUGCAGCGACGCCGCGUGAACGAAGAAGGCUUUCGAGUCGUAAAGUUCUUUUAUAUGGGAAGAUAAUGACGGUACCAUAAGAAAAAGCCCCGGCUAACUACGUGCCAGCAGCCGCGGUAAUACGUAGGGGGCUAGCGUUGUCCGGAAUCACUGGGCGUAAAGGGUUCGCAGGCGGAAAUGCAAGUCAGGUGUAAAAGGCAGUAGCUCAACUACUGUAAGCAUUUGAAACUGCAUAUCUUGAGAAGAGUAGAGGUAAGUGGAAUUUUUAGUGUAGCGGUGAAAUGCGUAGAUAUUAAAAAGAAUACCGGUGGCGAAGGCGACUUACUGGGCUCAUUCUGACGCUGAGGAACGAAAGCGUGGGUAGCAAACAGG
rnacentral:rRNA from 1 species